rnacentral:rRNA from 1 species
AUGGCCGGUGUUUUCCACGCCCCCACCGCCCGUCCCCGCCUGCCUCUCGUGCUCGCCUGCCUCUCCCCGACCACACGAAAGCUCCACGUCACCCGCCCGGCCGCCUCCGCGAUGGACGAGGCGUCGGCGAGCGCUCCAGGCGCCAAGAAGACGACCACCGUGUUCGUGGCCGGCUCGACGGGGAAAACCGGCAAGCGCGUCGUGGCGAAGCUGCUGGAGAAGGGCUUCGGCGUCGUCGCCGGCACGACGGACGUGGGCAGGGCCCGCGGAAGCCUGCCUCAGGACCCCAACCUCCAGCUCGUCAGGGCCGACGUGACGGAGGGCGCCGACAAGCUGGCCGAGGCCGUGCGCGGCGUCGACGCCGUCGUCUGCGCGACGGGCUUCCGGCGGUCCUUUGAUCCCUUUGCUCCCUGGAAGGUGGACAACUUGGGGACAGUGAACCUUGUGGAAGCAUGCCGAAAGGCUGGAGUUACAAGAUUCGUGCUCGUGAGCUCCAUUUUAGUGAAUGGGGCCGCGAUGGGCCAACUUCUGAAUCCAGCCUACAUCGUGCUCAAUCUGUUCGGCUUGGUGCUCGUUGCGAAGCUGCAGGCGGAGAAAUACAUCAGGGGAUCAGGAAUAAAUUACACAAUUGUGAGGCCUGGAGGGCUCACAGAACAGCCGCCCACUGGGAACAUUGUCAUGGAGCCAGAGGACACUCUCUACGAGGGCUCCAUAUCGAGAGACCAGGUUGCAGAAGUGGCUGUGGAAGCAUUGUUAUGCCCGGAGGAGUCUUCCUACAAGGUCGUCGAGAUCGUCACCCGAGCUGAUGCUCCAAGCCGCCCCCUCAAGGACAUGUUUGCUUCUAUUAAACAGAAAUGA